rnacentral:rRNA from 1 species
AUUGCCCUAGUAACGGCGAGUGAAGCGGCAACAGCUCAAAUUUGAAAUCUUGGCCCUCGGGUCCGAGUUGUAAUUUGUAGAGGAUGCUUUUGGUGAGGUGCCUUCCGAGUUCCCUGGAACGGGACGCCAUAGAGGGUGAGAGCCCCGUCUGGUUGGACACCGAGCCUCUGUAAAGCUCCUUCGACGAGUCGAGUAGUUUGGGAAUGCUGCUCUAAAUGGGAGGUAUAUGUCUUCUAAAGCUAAAUAUUGGCCAGAGACCGAUAGCGCACAAGUAGAGUGAUCGAAAGAUGAAAAGCACUUUGAAAAGAGGGUUAAAUAGUACGUGAAAUUGUUGAAAGGGAAGCGCUUGUGACCAGACUUGAGCCCGGUUAAUCAUCCAGCCUUCUGGCUGGUGCACUUGGCCGGCUCAGGCCAGCAUCAGUUCGGCGUGGGGGAUAAAGGCUUCGGGAAUGUGGCUCCUCCGGGAGUGUUAUAGCCCGUUGCGUAAUACCCUGUACUGGACUGAGGUUCGCGCAUCUGCAAGGAUGCUGGCGUAAUGGUCAUCAGCGACCCGUCUUGAAACACGGACCAAGGAGUCGUCCUCGUAUGCGAGUGUUCGGGUGUCAAACCCCUACGCGUAAUGAAAGUGAACGCAGGUGAGAGCUUCGGCGCAUCAUCGACCGAUCCAGAUGUUCUCGGACGGAUUUGAGUAAGAGCAUACGGGGCCGGACCCGAAAGAAGGUGAACUAUGCCUGUAUAGGGUGAAGCCAGAGGAAACUCUGGUGGAGGCUCGCAGCGGUUCUGACGUGCAAAUCGAUCGUCAAAUAUGGGCAUGGGGGCGAAAGACUAAUCGAACCUU